rnacentral:tRNA from 11 species
GCGGACGUAGCUCAAUGGUAGAGUCUCAGUCUUCCAAACUGAUUACGCGGGUUCGAUUCCCGUCGUCCGCUCCA